rnacentral:lncRNA from 1 species
GGGGAUUCAUCUAUUUAUAGGGACCACGUUUUUCUUGCAUGCCCACAGCGUGGCAGCUGCAGCAGGGGUCUGAAGCCCUGGUCACUGCCGGUGGCCUGGCACCAUGGGGGCUGUGCCCAGUGGGCUUUGGAAGGUGAGCAGUGGACAAAGAGGCCCCACCCUAACCAUCUUCUCCUUGCCUGGAACCUGGCGGCUCUGUGCUUGCAUCUUGAUUCCAGCUGACCCUGCUUUUCCACUCUGGGUGGCAACUCUUGAACCCAGGUCUUACUGACCCCAGAGAGUCAGCCACUGCUCCCUGUUGCCUUCCUGGGCCAGAGACUCUCACGGGGCUGUCUGCACUAAAGUGUUCUUUCUAUCCCCUGGCGCCCUGAGCAUCAAAGAAGCUUUACUCACUACGUGGGGACCCCUCGCCUUGGAUCACAAAGAGUCUCGACCUUCCUGGACAUCAGCUCAGACCAGAUGAUGUUAAAAAGCUUCGUUGCCGUUGCUGUCUGAUUGAUUACCAGCCAGAUACUCCCUGAACCCAUGCCCAGCCACCCACGCCUCCCUAAUUUCAAGGUCUGAAGGCCAGAUGGACUCAAGCAAGCCAUUUGCCUUUCUGAAAUCUCAGCUGCCUCAUCUGAGCAAGUGAGAUAAGCCGGCUUAUCUUGCCGCUGUGAAGCUGUCUGCAAGGCAAGGUGCCUAA